AGAGUUUGAUCCUGGCUCAGAUUGAACGCUGGCGGCAUGCUUUACACAUGCAAGUCGGACGGCAGCACAGAGAAGCUUGCUUCUUGGGUGGCGAGUGGCGAACGGGUGAGUAAUAUAUCGGAACGUACCGAGUAAUGGGGGAUAACUAAUCGAAAGAUUAGCUAAUACCGCAUAUUCUCUGAGGAGGAAAGCAGGGGACCUUCGGGCCUUGCGUUAUUCGAGCGGCCGAUAUCUGAUUAGCUAGUUGGUGGGGUAAAGGCCUACCAAGGCGACGAUCAGUAGCGGGUCUGAGAGGAUGAUCCGCCACACUGGGACUGAGACACGGCCCAGACUCCUACGGGAGGCAGCAGUGGGGAAUUUUGGACAAUGGGCGCAAGCCUGAUCCAGCCAUGCCGCGUGUCUGAAGAAGGCCUUCGGGUUGUAAAGGACUUUUGUCAGGGAAGAAAAGGCUGUUGCUAAUACCGACAGCUGAUGACGGUACCUGAAGAAUAAGCACCGGCUAACUACGUGCCAGCAGCCGCGGUAAUACGUAGGGUGCGAGCGUUGUCCGGAAUUAUUGGGCGUAAAGGGCUUGUAGGCGGUUUGUCGCGUCUGCCGUGAAAUCCUCUGGCUUAACUGGGGGCGUGCGGUGGGUACGGGCUGACUUGAGUGCGGUAGGGGAGACUGGAACUCCUGGUGUAGCGGUGGAAUGCGCAGAUAUCAGGAAGAACACCGAUGGCGAAGGCAGGUUACUGGGCCGUUACUGACGCUGAGGAGCGAAAGCGUGGGGAGCGAACAGGAUUAGAUACCCUGGUAGUCCACGCCGUAAACGAUGAGUGCUAGGUGUUGGAUCCUUUCCGGGAUUCAGUGCCGCAGCUAACGCAUUAAGCACUCCGCCUGGGGAGUACGACCGCAAGGUUGAAAC
rnacentral:rRNA from 1 species